GACCCUCGAGGCCUGUUCCAGAAACACCAGGAAGAGGAGCUGGAAGAGAGAAGGAAGUUGUACCGGUGGGGAAACUUGAAGGAUGGGUUAAUUCUGAAUGUGGCUGGGGCAAAACUAUGUGACCUCCCUGUGGAUGAGCAAUUUCUGGAAGACAAGAGUGUUGACUUUAAGGUUUCGCUGGCCAAAGGAGCGCGUGCGGGACUCCUGGAAGGAAGAUGCCUUAUUUGGGUACCAGUUUCUUAAUGGCGCCAACCCCGUGGUGCUGAGGCGCUCUGCUCACCUUCCUGCUCGCCUAGUGUUCCCUCCAGGCAUGGAGGAACUGCAGGCCCAGCUGGAGAAGGAGCUGGAGGGAGGCACAUUGUUCGAAGCUGACUUCUCCCUGCUGGAUGGGAUCAAGGCCAACGUCAGUCUCUGUAGCCAGCAGCACCUGGCUGCCCCUCUGGUCAUGCUGAAACUGCAGCCUGAUGGGAAACUCUUGCCCAUGGUCAUCCAGCUCCAGCUGCCCAGCACAGGAUCCCCACCACCUCCCCUUUUCCUGCCCACGGAUCCCCCAGUGGUCUGGCUUCUGGCCCAAUGCUGGGUGCGCAGCUCUGACUUCCAGCUCCGUGAGCUGCAGUCUCAUCUUCUGAGGGGACACUUGAUGGCUCAGGUCAUUGUUGUGGCCACCAUGAG